GCUCCCAUAGCUCAGUUGUUAGUGCAUCCAAAUGUUGCCUGGAAGAUCAUGGGCUCGACUCCCGUUGGGGAGCC